rnacentral:rRNA from 1 species
AUGUGCCGCCUGAGGAGGCAUCUCAUUGCUGACAUAUUCGGCACUGGCAGCGACCACGAGCUGCCGUCCGAGGUUACACGUGCAUCCAUGCUGGUGCGCAUUAACACCCUCCUUCAGGGAUUUUCCGGCAUGCGCUUCGAGAUCCUCGAGGCCAUCACAAAGCUCAUCAACAAAGGAGUACACCCAAGGAUUCCCCUUCGGGGCAGCAUCACCGCGAGUGGCGAUGUUGUCCCUCUUGCUUACAUUACCGGUGUCCUUACUGGACGCCCCAAUGCAGAGGCACUUACCCACGAUGGUAGGAAGGUGGAUGCCAUCGAGGCAUUCAAGAUCGCCGGGAUAGAUAUUGGCUUCUUCAAGCUGAACCCCACGAAGGGGUUGGCCAUUGUAGGUGGGACGGCUGCGGCCGCCGCCCUUGCAGCCAUGGUGUUGUUUGAUUGCAACAUCUUCGCCGUCCUAUCUGAGGUUUUUCCCGUAAUGUUUUGUGAGGUAAUGUAUGGCAAAUCAGAGUUUGCCGACCAUCUAAUCCACAAGUUGAAACAUCACCCUGGCACAAUUGAGGCCGCGGCUAUCAUGGAGCACAUCCUAGCUGGCAGCCCGUUCAUGGUCUAUGGCAAGAUGGUGAACAACAUGGACCCACACCUCAAGCCAAAACAAGAUAGAUAUGCGAUCCGCACCGCACCACAGUGGCUUGGCCCGCAGAUCGAGGUCAUUCGGGCGGCUACCAAGUGUAUAGAGCGUGAGGUGAAUUCUAUGAGUGACAAUCCAGUCAUUGAUGUGCACCGUGGCAUAGCACUCCAUGGUGGUAACUUCUAG